GAUGAACGCUGGCGGCGUGCCUAAUACAUGCAAGUCGAGCGAACAGAUGAGGAGCUUGCUCCUCUGACGUUAGCGGCGGACGGGUGAGUAACACGUGGAUAACCUACCUAUAAGACUGGGAUAACUUCGGGAAACCGGAGCUAAUACCGGAUAAUAUAUUGAACCGCAUGGUUCAAUAGUGAAAGACGGUUUUGCUGUCACUUAUAGAUGGAUCCGCGCCGCUUUAGCUAGUUGGUAAGUUACCGGCUUACCAAGGCAACGAUGCGUAGCCGACCUGAGAGGGUGAUCGGCCACACUGGAACUGAGACACGGUCCAGACUCCUACGGGAGGCAGCAGUAGGGAAUCUUCCGCAAUGGGCGAAAGCCUGACGGAGCAACGCCGCGUGAGUGAUGAAGGUCUUCGGAUCGUAAAACUCUGUUAUUAGGGAAGAACAAAUGUGUAAGUAACUAUGCACGUCUUGACGGUACCUAAUCAGAAAGCCCCGGCUAACUACGU
rnacentral:rRNA from 1 species